rnacentral:tRNA from 1 species
GCCCUCUUAGCUCAGUGGUAGAGCGCGUCACUCGUAAUGAUGAGGUCGGUUGUUCAAUCCAGCCAGGGGGCA